rnacentral:rRNA from 1 species
CUCGUAGGCGGUUGAGUAAGUCGGGUGUGAAAACUCUGGGCUUAACCCAGAGCCGCCACUCGAUACUGCUCUGACUUGAGUUCGGUAGGGGAGCAGGGAAUUCCUAGUGUAGCGGUGAAAUGCGCAGAUAUUAGGAGGAACACCGGUGGCGAAGGCGCUGCUCUGGGCCGAAACUGACGCUGAGGAGCGAAAGCGUGGGUAGCAAACA